GACGAACGCUGUUGGCGUGCUUAACACACGCAAGUCGAACGGAAAGGCCCUGCUUUUGUGGGGUGCUCGAGUGGCGAACGGGUGAGUAACACGUGAGUAACCUGCCCUUGACUUUGGGAUAACUUCAGGAAACUGGGGCUAAUACCGGAUAGGAGCUCCUGCUGCAUGGUGGGGGUUGGAAAGUUUCGGCGGUUGGGGAUGGACUCGCGGCUUAUCAGCUUGUUGGUGGGGUAGUGGCUUACCAAGGCUUUGACGGGUAGCCGGCCUGAGAGGGUGACCGGCCACAUUGGGACUGAGAUACGGCCCAGACUCCUACGGGAGGCAGCAGUGGGGAAUAUUGCACAAUGGGCGGAAGCUUGAUGCAGCAACGCCGCGUGCGGGAUGACGGCCUUCGGGUUGUAAACCGCUUUCGCCUGUGACGAAGCGUGAGUGACGGUAAUGGGUAAAGAAGCACCGGCUAACUACGUGCCAGCAGCCGCGGUGAUACGUAGGGUGCGAGCGUUGUCCGGAUUUAUUGGGCGUAAAGGGCUCGUAGGUGGUUGAUCGCGUCGGAAGUGUAAUCUUGGGGCUUAACCCUGAGCGUGCUUUCGAUACGGGUUGACUUGAGGAAGGUAGGGGAGAAUGGAAUUCCUGGUGGAGCGGUGGAAUGCGCAGAUAUCAGGAGGAACACCAGUGGCGAAGGCGGUUCUCUGGGCCUUUCCUGACGCUGAGGAGCGAAAGCGUGGGGAGCGAACAGGCUUAGAUACCCUGGUAGUCCACGCUGUAAACGGUGGGUACUAGGUGUGGGGUCCAUUCCACGGGUUCCGUGCCGUAGCUAACGCUUUAAGUACCCCGCCUGGGGAGUACGGCCGCAAGGCUAAAACUCAAAGGAAUUGACGGGGCCCCGCACAAGCGGCGGAGCAUGCGGAUUAAUUCGAUGCAACGCGUAGAACCUUACCUGGGUUUGACAUGGAUCGGGAGUGCUCAGAGAUGGGUGUGCCUCUUUUGGGGUCGGUUCACAGGUGGUGCAUGGCUGUCGUCAGCUCGUGUCGUGAGAUGUUGGGUUAAGUCCCGCAACGAGCGCAACCCUUGUUCACUGUUGCCAGCACGUUAUGGUGGGGACUCAGUGGAGACCGCCGGGGUCAACUCGGAGGAAGGUGGGGAUGACGUCAAGUCAUCAUGCCCCUUAUGUCCAGGGCUUCACGCAUGCUACAAUGGCUGGUACAGAGAGUGGCGAGCCUGUGAGGGUGAGCGAAUCUCGGAAAGCCGGUCUCAGUUCGGAUUGGGGUCUGCAACUCGACCUCAUGAAGUCGGAGUCGCUAGUAAUCGCAGAUCAGCAACGCUGCGGUGAAUACGUUCCCGGGGCU
rnacentral:rRNA from 1 species